GGGAUUUCUGUCACUGUCACACACACACACAAUUGGGAUUCCUGUCACACACACACACACACAAUUGGGAUUUCUGUCACUCUGUCACACACACACAAUUGGGAUUUCUGUCACACACACACACACACAAUUGGAUUUCUGUCACUGUCACACACACACAAUUGGGAUUUCUGUCACACACACACACACACAAUUGGGAUUUCUGUCACACACACACACACACACAAUUGGGAUUUCUGUCACACACACACACACACACAAUUGGGAUUUCUGUCACUGUCACACACACACACACAAUUGGGAUUUCUGUCACACACACACACACACACAAUGGGAUUUCUGUCACUGUCACACACACACACACAAUUGGGAUUUCUGUCACACACACACACAAUUGGGAUUUCUGUCACUGUUCACACACACACAAUUGGGAUUUCUGUCACACACACACACAAUUGGGAUUUCUGUCACUGUCACACACACACAAUUGGGAUUUCUGUCACUGUCACACACACACACAAUUGGGAUUUCCUGUCAACACACACACACAAUUGGGAUUUCUGUCACUGUCACACACACACACAAUUGGGAUUUCUGUCACUGUCACACACACACAAUUGGGAUUUCUGUCACUGUCACACACACACACAAUUGGGAUUUCUGUCACUGUCACACACACACAAUUGGGAUUUCUGUCACACACACACACACACACACACAAUUGGGAUUUCUGUCACACACACACACAAUUGGGAUUUCUGUCACUGUCACACCACACAAUUGGGAUUUCUGUCACACACACGCACAAUUGGGAUUUCUGUCACUGUCACACACACACACACACACACAAUCAGGAUUUUUGUCACCCUCACAGACACAAUCAGAAUUUUUCUGUCACCCCCACACCGUUGGGAAUAGUGAAUAAAUAGGGUUUUUUCCCAUAAAAAUAAAUACAAUAUAAAUAAAUAAAUAGGACACAUUUCCAGCUAAAAUAAAUAAACUUUAAUAAAUCAAUCAAGAUUUAAAAAUAUAAUUAAAUAUAUAUUAAAAAUAAAUAUAUAUUAAAAAAUAAAUAUAUAUUAAAAAAUAAAUAUAUAUUAAAAAUAAAUAUAUAUUAAAAAUUAAAUUUUUAAAACCACCUAAAAUACGUAGAAACAACUAAAAAGAAAAAAUAAAAAUAAAAACAAAUAAACCUCACCCCAAAAAAAUACAAAAUACAAAUCCGCCAACACUAACAAAAAAUAGGAAAAGGAAAAAGAGCUACAAAAGAAAUAUGAAGCCCCUAAAAUAAAAGCAACAAUAAGAAAUUAAAAAAUAAAGCAAAAAUGAAAUUAAAACCCAAAAAAAUAGAUAAAAAGAAAAAGAAAGCCCAGAAAAUACACAAAAAUAAAAUAAAAUCAAGACAAUAAAAAAUAAAAUAAAUAGAAAAAAAACUAAAAAAGAAAUAAAGACCUCCUCAAAUAAAAGCCAUAAUAAAAAUGUAAAAAAUAAAUUAAAAACAAAAUACAAUAAAAACCCUUAAAAAUAAUGAACAUUGAUAAAAAUAGAAAAAUCUUGAAGUAUAAAAAGCAAAAACACUAUAAAAAAUUAAAAUAAAAAUAAGCAACCCAACAGUGUAAAAAUAAAUCUAAAAAUAAACAACUAAAAACUAAAGAAACCCCUCGAAAACCCCAAAUUAAAAUGAAAUAAAAUGAAAUAAAAUAAAAUAAAAUAAAAUAAAAUAAAAUAAAAUAAAAUAAAAUUAAAUAAAAUAAAAUAAAAUAAAAUAAAAUAAAAUAAAAUAAAAUAAAAUAAAAUAAAAUAAGAAAAAAUAGAAAAACAGGAAAAAAACUAAAAAAUAAAUAUUAAAAAACCUUUAAAAACUGCCACAAAAAUAAUAAUAAAAAUAAAAUAGAAAAUAAAAACCCCAAAAUAAAAUUUAGAAAAAUAUCAAAACUAUAAAAUAAUAAAAAAUAAUUGUAGAAUUUAAACAAUUUUGUAAACAUCACAAAGAACUUCUAAAAACUCUUUUAAAUAACCCCAAAAAAUUAAAAAUAAAAUACAGAAAUAAAAUAAAAACACACAAAAAAUUAUAAAAAACCAAAAAAUCACCCCAAAAUUAAAAAUAAACAGAAUAAAAAACAAAAAAU
ensembl:lncRNA